rnacentral:misc_RNA from 1 species
GCCAGCAGUAUCCCAAAUCUGGGCCUUGACGACCUUGUCAUCAACGUGGAUGCUGCGAGUGGCGAAUUCAACACCGAUGGUGGAUUUAGAUUCCAGGCUGAAUUCAUUUCUCGUGAAUCUUGACAAGAGAUUGGAUUUCCCAACCCCAGAGUCACCUAUUAACACCACCUUGAACAAGUAGUCAUAGUCCUCGUCUGCCCUGUAAGCCCCCAUUAACCUAAAUUCCCUCUCUUUCUCAGCGUUUUGAAUGAAAGGGGUUAUGGGGUUUUUGGAAAUGAAGAUCAAACGAAAAGGGUAGUCUUGCUUUUCGAUAUUGAAGAUGAGAUAUGUGGGUUUUUGAAAACGAAGAUUAAAAAUAGAUUGGUUAGUCUUGGUUUCUUGAUGUACGGCUAUGGAAGAUGCUAAGAUGAAUCUAUCUAACAACAGGGUGAGCGAACCGAAAGCUUUCGACACCGGCGUAAACCGAAAAAUU